GCAUAAAAUUUAGACUUUUAUUUAAAGAUAAAUCUAACAAGGUGUGUGUACUGUGUUGUGUUAAGCAUGACAUGGACAACAGUAUCUAAAUUCAUUUGCUUCUGAGCAUAGUCAGAGCGGAAGGAGGCAGGUCUACACGGCCACUGUAGCAGUGCAUGUGUCAACUUGCUGUGGGAGAGAAGAGAGCGCGAGAAAGCUCAGCUGGUACAGGUACUGAUACUGUGGAAUUGAGUAUUAAAACUUUUUCAAAUGUUCAGAAUUGAUAUGUAAUGAUAUUUUGGUAGUUAUGACAACACUAGUAUCAAAUAUAUUGGAACUACAGGGAAAGGUGUGUCAAGUGUAGUAGUAACUAUGCAUGCUACAGCAUGUGAAAAAAGUAAGUUUUAAAGAAUGUUUUUAAAACUCUGAAGAUAAGGAUAAUAUAGCUUUUUAAAGAGAUGGAUUAUCUUAAAGAAAAUGGGGCCAUCCUGAAGACUGUAUGUCUAAACAGAAGUAAUCAGAUUUUCUACUCAACAUCAACAACAGAUAAAAAUCUUUAAAUAGCCAACACUCACUGAAGUGACCUAAAAGUCAACAUGAUAAGUUUAUUUACAGUUAACUUGUAUUAAACAAUUACAUUACAGUAAUGGGAGUAUUUUUGACCCUCAAACUAUUCCAAAGUUGCCCUCGAUCUUGAUGCUUGGAAAACCAAAUCUUGAGUGAAAUGCCACAACUAACAACAUGUUCAGUAAUUGCACUUGAUAAACACCAAAAAUGUAACGAAUCAACUAUUUUUUAAUUUGCUAUUGCAACUGUCAGGAGGCUGUAAACUGAGAAAACUCAAAAACGGGUAAUAAUUGUUAUAUUCAGAUAUGAUAUUCAGUCCAUUGCCUGCCAAAGCAUCAAACAAAUGAAAUAAAAAAAUCAAAUUUGACUCAACUUAUACUGUUGUGUGACUUGUCUGUAACAGGUUAAUGUCAUCUCUAACACAAUAACUUAAAACUUUUUUUUUAAUGAAAAACUUUAAAAUGCUUAAUCUGACAUCCCUACGGAUUGCCAACACCACUUUGACAUCAAUAUUUUACAGCACGGCUGAAAAGUCAAUACAACUGUCAGCUACCUGGGCUUUCUAAGGUACUCACAUUACCAUAUAUUGAGUAUUGAGGUUUAAUCAACUGUCAGCAAUGAUGCAAGCUUGUCAUUGAUCAAAAGGUUGAUUAAUGUAGCUUUGAUCUAACAUCAACCAUUGUAGUUGUUAGGAUCAACAGCCAAACAAAGCUUAGCUGAGACCUUGUUAUCAGGGAGAAGUGGAGUUGGGUUACACAAUAUCCGGGCAGCAGCAUGUUCCCAAUGUUGUGGGACAAGGCUAUUCCCAAAAAAAGCUCAGGCACUGUUGUGGAGUUUUUCCUGUUCUGAGGAAUGCGCCUCUUCCCUUGUAGCCUGUGAGCACUUUUUCCCAACACCAUAUUUGGUAUUAGAGGAGUGGAGGAAAGUAGGAGGAGAGUGAGAGAAGCUACAGCCUAUUAUGUCAACGACGAUUAGACAAACCAGCCCUAGCACACAAACUAUCCACCACUGUAUCCAGCACCAAAAAAGGGCACACUCGUGGAGAUGGACAGCUUGGAAGAUAACAGGCAAAGUUUAUGGCGAAACGGACACAUCCAGGAAUGGCCACUGUCUUAUGAGGACGGGAGCCAUUCGUGAUGUCCUGGACAGCCAGAAGUUAGUGUCAGAUGUCUGAGAACAGCUGCUGCUGCGGCUGCCGAGAGGAGAUACCAAGCAAAGUGUCUCAGCUGUGCGUAGCCUGUGGAGGUGGGGGCUGCGGGGAGAAGCAGGUUGAUGAAGCUGAUGAUGCUCAGGGACCGGCAGGUGGACGAGGCAGAGGUGGAUGUAGAUAUUCUCCUCCUGAUUCCUGCGGAGGCGCUGACACCGAUACUAAACGCUCAGAACCAGAGGACAGACAGGACACAAUGUGUGAAACAGUUCACUGGGAUUAAAGUCAGUUUAGACCCUG